UACAGAGGUCCCGAGCGUUGUUCGGAUUCACUGGGCGUAAAGGGUGCGUAGGUGGUGGAGUAAGUUUGAUGUGAAAUCUCCGGGCUUAACCCGGAAACUGCAUUGAAUACUAUUUUGCUGGAGGUUUGGAGGGGGGACUGGAAUUCUCGGUGUAGCAGUGAAAUGCGUAGAUAUCGAGAGGAACACCAGUGGCGAAGGCGGAUCUCUGGGCCUUACCUGACGCUGAGGCGCGAAAGCUAGGGGAGCGAACAGG
rnacentral:rRNA from 1 species